rnacentral:pre_miRNA from 1 species
UCCUGAUCUGCCUGCCAGAUGACAGGAGGCUGGUGCUACCGGCUGGGGCCAGUGGCAGCACCAAUCUUCCCAGCACAGGCUGUGUCCAGCCAGCAACACCAGCCUCCUGUCAUCUGGCAGGCAGAUCGGGA